rnacentral:rRNA from 1 species
AUAUGAAGGGGGCUAGCGUUGUUCGGAAUUACUGGGCGUAAAGCGCGUGUAGGCGGAUCGUUAAGUCAGGGGUGAAAGCCCGGGGCUCAACCCCGGAACUGCCCUUGAUACUGGCGAUCUAGAGUCCGGAAGAGGUGGGCGGAAUUCCCGGUGUAGAGGUGAAAUUCGUAGAUAUCGGGAGGAACACCAGUGGCGAAGGCGGCUCACUGGUCCGAUACUGACGCUGAGACGCGAAAGCGUGGGGAGCAAACAGGAUUAGAUACCCUAGUAGUCC